RUUGACGCUGCGGCAGGCCUAACACAUGCAAGUCGAGCGGAAACGAGUUAUCUGAACCUUCGGGGAACGAUAACGGCGUCGAGCGGCGGACGGGUGAGUAAUGCCUAGGAAAUUGCCCUGAUGUGGGGGAUAACCAUUGGAAACGAUGGCUAAUACCGCAUGAUGCCUACGGGCCAAAGAGGGGGACCUUCGGGCCUCUCGCGUCAGGAUAUGCCUAGGUGGGAUUAGCUAGUUGGUGAGGUAAGGGCUCACCAAGGCGACGAUCCCUAGCUGGUCUGAGAGGAUGAUCAGCCACACUGGAACUGAGACACGGUCCAGACUCCUACGGGAGGCAGCAGUGGGGAAUAUUGCACAAUGGGCGCAAGCCUGAUGCAGCCAUGCCGCGUGUGUGAAGAAGGCCUUCGGGUUGUAAAGCACUUUCAGUCGUGAGGAAGGUGGUAGUGUUAAUAGC
rnacentral:rRNA from 1 species